AAUGGCCGCAGUAUAUUAACUGUGCAAAGGUAGCAUAAUCAUUAGUCUUUUAAUUGAAGGCUGGAAUGAAUGGUUGGACGAAAUAUUAACUGUUUCAAAUAAAUUUAUUAUAGAAUUUUAUUUUUUAGUAAAAAAGCUAAAAUGUAUUUAAAAGACGAGAAGACCCUAUAAAUCUUUAUAAUUUAUUUAUUAUGAUAAUUAAGAAUUAUUUUUUUAUAAUAAAUUAAAUUAUUUUAUUGGGGUGAUAUUAAAAUUUAAUGAACUUUUAAUUAGUUAAAUCAUUAAUUUAUGAAUUUUUGAUCCAAUUUUAUUGAUUAUAAAUUUAAGUUACUUUAGGGAUAACAGCGUAAUUUUUUUGGAGAGUUCAUAUCGAUAAAAAAGAUUGCGACCUCGAUGUUGGAUUAAGAGAUAUAUUUGGGUGUAGCCGUUCAAAUAAUUAAGUCUGUUCGACUUUUAAAUUCUUACGUGAUCUG
rnacentral:rRNA from 1 species